rnacentral:ncRNA from 2 species
GACCACAACCAGGGGUGCCAGUGCAUUACAGCGCUGAGCUGAGAUAACCCUUUGAACUUGACCUGGAUAAUACCAGCGGAAGGAGGUUGUUGGUCUUUUGA